CCUACGGGAGGCAGCAGUAGGGAAUAUUCCACAAUGGGGGAAACCCUGAUGCAGCGACGCCGCGUGAGUGAAGAAGUUUUUCGGUAUGUAAAACCCUAUCAGCAGGGAAGAAAUAGCGACCUUGUGGUCGCCCGCCGGUACCUGACUAAGAAGCCCCGGGUAACUACGUGCCAGCAGCCGCGGUAAUACGUAGGGGGCAAGCGUUAUCCGGAUUUACUGGGUGUAAAGGGAGCGUAGACGGCAGCAUAAGUCUGAAGUGAAAUGCCGGGGCUUAACCCCGGAACUGCUUUGGAAACUGGGCAGCUAGAGUGCAGGAGAGGUAAGUGGAAUUCCUAGGGUAGCGGUGAAAUGCGUAGAUAUUAGGAGGAACACCAGUGGCGAAGGCGGCUUACUGGACUGUAACUGACGUUGAGGCUCGAAAGCGUGGGGAGCAAACAGGAUUAGAUACCCCUGUAGUC
rnacentral:rRNA from 1 species